rnacentral:lncRNA from 1 species
UUCUAUUCUUCUAUUACCAUAUUUCCAAUAAUAAUAUAAUGUCUUAUAUUAACACUUUGGCCACUCACAUUCUUACUUUUUCUUUUUUUUUUUUUACACUCUCAUCUCGAUAAAUUUAUGUUACUUUUUUUUUUUUGCCAUAAAUCUCUCUCUCUCUCUCUCUUAAGUUAAGCACUACUGAACGAGAGAAUCAUCGAAGAAUUCUAAUUACUUAUAUAUCAUACAAAU